CCUACGGGUGGCAGCAGUGGGGAAUAUUGCGCAAUGGGCGAAAGCCUGACGCAGCGACGCCGCGUGAGGGAUGAAGGUCUUCGGAUCGUAAACCUCUGUCAGCAGGGAAGAACGGUCACUUUCCUAAUCAGCAGUGAAUUGACGGUACCUGCAAAGGAAGCACCGGCUAACUCCGUGCCAGCAGCCGAGGUAAUACGGAGGGGGCGAGCGUUAAUCGGAAGUACUGGGCGUAAAGCGCUCGUAGGCGGUAUGUCAAGUCAAGGGUGAACUCCCCGCGCUCAACGUGGGAACUGCCUUGGAAACUGGCAAACUUGAGUGUGUGAGAGGAUAGUGGAAUUCCAGGUGUAGGAGUGAAAUCCGUAGAUAUCUGGAGGAACAUCAGUGGCGAAGGCGACUAUCUGGCACAUAACUGACGCUGAGGAGCGAAAGCGUGGGUAGCAAACAGGAUUAGAUACCCGGGUAGUC
rnacentral:rRNA from 1 species